rnacentral:rRNA from 1 species
UACGUAGGGGGCAAGCGUUGUCCGGAUUUACUGGGCGUAAAGAGCGUGUAGGCGGCCAAACAGGUCCGUUGUGAAAACUGGAGGCUCAACCUCCAGACGUCGACGAAAACCGUGUGGCUAGAGUCCGGAAGAGGAGAGUGGAAUUCCUGGUGUAGCGGUGAAAUGCGCAGAUAUCAGGAAGAACACCAAUGGCGAAGGCAGCUCUCUGGGACGGUACUGACGCUGAGACGCGAAAGCGUGGGGAGCGAACAGG